rnacentral:pre_miRNA from 1 species
UUUGGGAGGGGGGUCCCUCAGCCCAGAUUGCAAGAGGGUGCAGGCCAGGCCGAGGAACCCCACCGGUGCACA